rnacentral:rRNA from 1 species
AUUGAACGCUGGCGGCAUGCUUUACACAUGCAAGUCGAACGGUAACAGGCCGCAAGGUGCUGACGAGUGGCGAACGGGUGAGUAAUGCAUCGGAACGUGCCCAGUCGUGGGGGAUAACGCAGCGAAAGCUGCGCUAAUACCGCAUACGAUCUAUGGAUGAAAGCGGGGGACCGUAAGGCCUCGCGCGAUUGGAGCGGCCGAUGUCAGAUUAGGUAGUUGGUGGGGUAAAGGCGCACCAAGCCAACGAUCUGUAGCUGGUCUGAGAGGACGACCAGCCACACUGGGACUGAGACACGGCCCAGACUCCUACGGGAGUCAGCAGUGGGGAAUUUUGGACAAUGGGCGCAAGCCUGAUCCAGCCAUGCCGCGUGCGGGAAGAAGGCCUUCGGGUUGUAAACCGCUUUUGUCAGGGAAGAAAUCCUCUGGGUUAAUACCUCGGGGGGAUGACGGUACCUGAAGAAUAAGCACCGGCUAACUACGUGCCAGCAGCCGCGGUAACAC